GACUAAGUUUAGGGCAUGACUCUGAUACCAAUUUAGUUAGACGAACACGCUCUUCAUAAUAAUAUGAUAUUGUCCACUUUGAACAUAAGCUCUCAUGAUUUUUCUUU